UUUUAAGUAAAACUACCGAUACGUGGAUCGGCUUCCCCUUUCGAUAUCAACGAUUGUUCAGUUUGAUGGAACCAUAUGGGUAAUGAAGAGAAGACAGCGGCAGUUCAUCAAGAAAUUAAUAGGAUGAAUCAACUUCCUGCAACCAGCAGUUAUGUUUCUCAUCGUAUGCGGGUUCUUAAUAAAAUUCUUCAACUUGUGUCCAUCCAGAGGACCGGCUCACAAGAUAAGGAAUUGGAGUUGCUUUUUGCUGGGUUGCAUCUGUGAUUGAUUUGCCAGUGCUAUGGAUUAGCAUCAUCGCAGAAAGUUAAAUCCUCAGAUUGUAUCCCCGAGGUAUGAUGGCCAUGGUUUGCCCUUGUAUGCAGUGCUGAAACAAAUGCCUCUCUGGUAGGCUGAAAUUUAAAUCUUGUGAACAUCUUCUGAAGCUGUUUUCUUUUCAUCAGAGUGCUCUGUAUCUUUUGUUUGACUAGGGCGUCUUUUUCCCCGUCGUGUUAACUGACCACCUGUGGGAUUUCGAUAACUAGAGAUGCAUGAGUCCUUCAGUCAUGAACUUAGCUUCUGUUUUUUCUCUUUCUUUCCUUCUUUCAUUUUCUUUUCUCUGGUGGGGGGAAUGGGUUCUGUCAAAUUGUUAAUUCACGUGUUACGAAGUUGCAGUUUUGUCUAUGAUGGAUGGAUUACUGAUUGAUGACGAUAACUGAUAUAUUUUAGCCCUAGUGAUAUAUCAGCAUAUACGUUUGAUUAA